rnacentral:misc_RNA from 1 species
GUGCAGACGCGUCUGGGGCGUGAAGACAGCGAGUAUCUCGCCCGCUCGGUGCCGUUCUACGCCGCCAAUCAACCGCUGGCCGAUAUCAGUGAGAUGCGCGUGGUACAGGGAAUGGACGCCGGGCUUUAUCAAAAACUGAAACCGCUGGUCUGUGCGCUGCCGAUGACCCGCCA